GGUCAUCUAAAACAUAGACAAAAGGAACAUAUUGAGGACACUUUUCCUUAGACCGCACAGCUUAAUGUUCUCUUACCCGGGGUCCGGUUCCGGUUGCCCAGCAAAACGCAUUCGCGUCGCAGUAUGUUCGCGUUCCAACCGAGCCAUUUAACGCGCAUGACUAUGGACAGUGUCGGGAUACAUUAAAUGUAUUCUUUUAACCGUCAUGUGUACAACCGCCUACCCGGCCCCAGGACUAUCAGCUGCACAACGCUCCUAUGAUGAAAACUACAGCAUUGCGGAAAUUAAAAUCCGUCAACGAAAACGAGACCACUCAGUAUGCCGCCGUAGCUCCUGGCUUAGAUAAUGAUUUGCCCCCGUCCAGUAAACUAAAUGCUUGCUAACGAAACGCUCCAUAUACACAGCAGGCACUCUUCAUGCAAUUGCACUCGAUAGGCGUUGAUGCCCUGUUUGCCUCUUACCAAAUCCUGGGCUGCCGUUCCUAGAUCACCAGCAGCCGGGGUACAAAGUAGCUUGCGCACACCUUCGUCGGGAGAGACUUCAUCACAAGCUAGCGCACCUUCAAGCUAGUUUUGAACGGUUCCGUCACACGGUGUCCCAGUGGCGAAGGGAUGUUUAAUCAUACGGCAUGAAGAAGCACACCUAUGCCGCUUACCUCGUAGCUAA